rnacentral:rRNA from 1 species
UACGUAGGGGUCGAGCGUUGUCCGGAGUUACUGGGCGUAAAGCGUGCGCAGGCGGCUCAUUGCGCCCGGCGUGAAAGCCCCCGGCUCAACCGGGGAGGGUCGUCGGGGACGGGUGAGCUUGAGGGUAUCAGGGGUUGGUGGAAUUCCCGGUGUAGCGGUGAAAUGCGCAGAUAUCAGGAGGAACACCGGUGGCGAAGGCGGGUCUCUGGGCCGAUACUGACGCUGAGGAGCGAAAGCGUGGGGAGCGAACAGG